rnacentral:lncRNA from 1 species
ACACGCUUCCCCACUGAGGGAAGACCAUGUGACUAUACAACAGGAAGGUAGUUGUUUACAAGCCAGGAAGAGAGCCCUCACCAGAAACCAAAUUGGCUGGCGCCUUGAUCAUGGACUCCUGGGCUCCGGAACUGUAAGAAAAUUUGUGUUGUGGAAGCCACCCAGCCCAUGGUAUUUCGUUAUGGCAGCCUGAGCAGAGGUGGUAGCUAUGUGGACAGUUUUUGGACUUCUCUAUUGUUGCCCUUCAUCACUCAGCAGUGAAGAAUGAAAAUCAACAGAGCUUUCCCCAGCCUGCUGCUUAAGCAGCUGCUAGCAGGCUGAGGCUGCCCAGCCUCAUUAACCCAUUAGAUGCUGCGUUCGCCCGGGAGUCAUUCUUAAUGAGGCUGCUGCAGAGACGGCGUUUCACCAUGUUGCCCAGACUGGUCUCGAACUCCUGGCUUCAAGUGAUCCUCCUGCCUCAACCUCCCAAAGUGCUGGUAUUACAGAUGAGAAAACAGAAGCAAAGGCAGAAAGAUGCUACAUUGCCAGCUUUGAAGAUGGAGGGAAGAGGUCACAAACCAAGGAAGGCAAUGAGGACGUUGCACAAGACAGUCCCUGAUACCCAGAGUUUACUGCCUAAGAGAGGAUACAUCCUUCAAACCAAUAAUCUGCUAAUAGCAAGAUCCAAUAGCUUCAUGGAUAUUGAAAGAAACUGAGAAUCAAAUUUGCAUACUUCUGAGUCACUUGGAAACAAAAAACAAGUACAGUCUUAGAUUCUGAGGGAACAAAAAUUAAAAAUCACAUUAGGAAGAGAAUUCCUAAUGUAGGAACUCAUCCUGGAAGAUUCUUCAGCAAAAGUACAGACAAUAAUAAUAAUACUCCAUGAAGUUACCAUCGAUAUUGAAUGAAUUAAUGAAUGUAAAAACCUCAAAACCCUGCCUGGCCCAGAGCUUUGGAAUGGGUUUGGAUCUACCACUCAACUGCUUUAUGACUUCAGACCAGUUAUUUAAAUUCCCUGAAGCUCAGUUUCCACAUCUUUGAGUGCAGCCCGGAGAGCUGUGAGCAGUGCCACAGGAGGAGAUGACUGGUGAGUGAAAUAAGCAAGAUAGGAGUUGAAGUGUACAUGAAGCAGAGUCCAAGCCUUCUCCUUCUGGAUGUUCAGCUGGAUCAUCCUGACUGCUCCCACUUUCAUCUUGGCUUUCAAAGGCAAGAGGAAAUUAUAAGGAAUAUUCUGAGUGGCUUUCAUCCAGGAGUUCUGUGGGACCCGCAACACCUGGAUGGUAGAUGCAAACAGAUAAAGAAUAUUGGUCACCAAAAGGAGUUCUUUUCAUCAUAGAUCUCUGAAGGUAGACACCUAUUUGCAGACUUCUCAAAGGGCUAUAUGGAUGUGCUCUACUUGUUGGAGGAUUGUCCAUCCACUCUUCUUCCUGUACUUACCAGGACAGAACAGCCGCAACUUCUCAGACAGUUCAUUCUUCUUUUCCUCACCUACUACCAUCUAAGAAAGGUACUUGAUGACUGUGGCUUUAGACAAGAGUCCUUUUCUUACCACAGGGUGGGCAGCACCAGCUCAUUAGAACCAUUUGUGUGACUGACUGAAGACAGCUCACCUUGGAACACUGCAGGCCUCCAAAGAAGUCUACAAAUUCCAUCAGUCAGUAACGGCUUGGAGUUCCAAAGCUUAUGACUCAAAGGUGAUCAGAGCAUGGACCUGGGGCUAGUCUGGAUUGGUAACUGCUAAACUUGGAUACAUGGCUUCUGAUGGCCCUGCUGGGGAGACCAUGUGGAGAGAUGGCAUAGAGCCAGAGAUUCACGUUCCAGGAGCCCUGACUGUCUCAUCUCAGGGAAUUGAAUCUCCUUGUGCUCCAGACCCUAUGAGAGGAUGCCAUCCCCUGCUACCAUCUGACUGCAACCUCAGGAGACACCCCAAGCCAGAACUGAGCAGCCAAGCCACUCUCAUAUUCUUGACCCAUAGACAUUGGGAGAUAAAAACUGAUUGUUGUCAAUUUUAGUCAGUACAUUUUAGGGCAAUUUGAUGUCCUAGCAAUAGACUAGUAUAUUUAUCCAUUGCUGCAUCUUCUUCUGCUUAGAUUAUGAUGCAUGUUUUUUAGCUCCAACUAGUAUCUAAACUUGUCAUGGUCUUUGCUUGAAAGUUUGAUUUUUUGCUGCCCUUGAACUUUACCCCUGAUUCCAAUUUACCCAUUUGUUUUGGUUUAGUUUAAGGAGAUUGUAAACAAGUAUGCCUACAAGGGCCAUGCAACAAAUGCUAAAAAGAGAAGUAGACCUGGGCAGGGAGGCAAGGGAGCGGAAAGAUGUGUAGUACGUUCAGCUCAGGUCACGUUCAUCAUCCAGCUCUGGAAGAUGGAUCCAGUGGGCAUGUGUGCCUAAUGAUGCCACAUUAUCUGAUUUUUUUCUCCAAAAGAAAAAUCAAGAUUUUUAUUAAAAAUCUUCUGGUUUAAAAAAAUUUAAAUGCUAUUCAAAUUUCAAUAACAACCAUGCCAGAUAAAAAAUAGCUACUGACUGAACUUAGCCAUGAUCUGCCAACUUGCAACCUCCAAAUUAGAAGUUUUUAGCCACUAUGGAUGUUAGGAAGACCUGAAACACAGAAUAGAGAGAUUCCAAUUUUUCUAGUGACAAUGAGUCCUGAGAAAGGUGACAAAAUCAGAAUAACCUUUGGAGAAAGAUAAAUGCUACUAUCAGUGGAAUGGGAUUCAGUCUUCAGCCUGUUGUAGUAAUUCAGUAAGCACAUGUGGUCAUUGAGUGAACUCGCAUGGCCAAUACAAGGUAAGCUUGGCGGUUCCUUCUAUGUCAAACGUUCUAUUUAAAUAGAGAGAAAAGAGGAGUAAUAAUUGUUAAAACCCUUUUGCAGUUUUAAAAAGGCAUAUAAAUAGUAAAGGACCAGUUACCUUGCUUGAGAAAUUUGUACAGUACCUAGUUGUUCCUGAAAGAGUGUACUGACAGGAGCUGAAAAGCCUACCUGGAAGAGAAUAUGGUCCCAAAUUCCAAAGGCAGAAAGGAACACAGGUUAAAUAGAAGGAGCAGUAACAACCCAGACCAGAGAAGCCAGGCAAAGCCUUGGAGACUAGGUAUACAUAGGAGAUAGCAGUUCUCAAUUCCCAUUCCCUUUGUGCCAAGCACAGGCACCGUGAUCCUUCACUGAAGCUCAGUGAACACUGUUCUCAGAGAGAGGUCCUGUCAGCAUCCACCUACCGAACCAUCAAAUGUGUAUCUGUCUCAGUUCUGCUUGGGAGCCUGAUACAGAUCUUUCCAUCACUCAUGAAGGCCCUAGAAUGCAUCCUCUUUUUUUUUUUUUCCUUCUGGAAAAUAUCAACCAGUUUUGGUAGAUUUUACCUUUCCAUUCUCUGUGUCCCUCCAUUAUUUUGGUCAACUCACCUCUGAAAACAGCAAAGCCUCUCAGGUCUACCGUGGGACACGCAGAAUUACAAGCUGAGCUACCCUCUGGGAUGGAAGCAGGGGUCUGGGAGGGUGGCACUAACGCUUAAUAUUAUUGAGUUAAAAUCUCAAUAAAUUAUCCCAGUAAAUCAUACAAUCAGAAAGACAAAGUCCUUGCCAAUAAAUAUGCACAACUCUCUGCCUAGAGACAAACCCACCUUGAGUUCACUCACGCAACCCAAUACCCAUAAACUACUCUCCAUAAAGCAAUGGAAAAGAGGAGCUGAGGUUAACAAAGUUCUUUCAGCCUACCCACGUAGGCUGACAUUUAUCUGCAUGCAUAGAACUCACAACAUUUAUUGUAGCAGAGUACAUAUUUCAGAAAACUGAUUUUGCUUUUUCCUAUAGCUGAUAACCUGGAAAAUACAGUCAUCUGUACUCUGUCUCCCAGGCGAUAGUGCAAAUCAGUAAAGAGUUUCCAUUGAUGGUUCUUUUGCAGACUCUAACCACAAUUGAACUCUCUGCUUUCCAUCAGUCGCCCACCCUGUUGUGUACAAAGAAGCAGAUAUGCAAUAUAGCAGGAGCCCCAAGAAAAGGUCUGGCUGUUCUGUCAAAACUAUUUAGUUCAAUAUUGUUCUCAAUGUGGCACCAUAGCCCUGGACAUGACACCCAGCACGUCCAAACAGACAUGAUUAUAUAUGAGACAGAAAGGCACUUACAUCACUGCGGGUUGUUAUGCUUUAAAGGGCUUUUUCCCCCCUCUUCAAAUUAAAAGUUUUCAAAAAUGAAAUAAAAAUAAACCUUUGAAGAAACCAGAUUGAGACUGAAUUUGGAAGGCCCUCCUGCCUAGUGUAUACUAAAGAAACAUUUUCUGGGUUUGUCCCUGAUGAUUUUCCUUGUAGUUGAGAAACACAAUCCACUGGAAGCUUUUGUGGCAGAACAAGAAUUUUAUGAACACGAACUUUACAAAGACUUCCCUAGGAGAUUUAAGGUCUGGAAAUCAAUAGAUCAAUCAGCAGCUUUUAUCAAUCUAUAAUGGUUCUCUCUCUUUGGAUGUUUGGAUGAAAAUGGGAUCAACGUAAAUUGAACAUGGAAUCACUUAUUCUUACAAGUUAAAUUUGUCAAACUGUAAGGCACAUAAAUGACAUGAAAUGUAAUCAUUUUUGAAUUUGGGACCCUACAGGGUGCACGUUGAUUGAAGAAAAAACAAGCAGAUGUUGCUUCAGCAUAACUCAUAGAGGCAAUCUAAAUGUUCUUCAAUCCCUGACACUUCUGAUCGUUUCCCAAAUAAACCAGUUCAUUAGUUAA